CAUGACCUGCGAUGCUCCCCCAGCAGCUGCAUGCCCGAGAUGCUCCCUUGUGCCAGGGGCACAGCACACCCCAUCUGUUCAGUCCCAGUGUCAGGCCCUGUGGUCCCCACUGCAUUCCUCUUCUGCGAGGGAUGUGUGGGGAGGCAUAAGGUUUGCACAUGUGUGCAUGUACAUGCACACCUGCCAGUAGACUUCCUCGCCAUGCACACUUCAGCACAUGGCUUCCCCAUAGGACAGGCCUGCACCCACCCCAUGACCAAGCAGGGCCGGUGCAUCGCGGGGCGGGGCCGGCGCACGAAGAUGGCCUCGCUGAGCAGCGAACCGCUGGGGCUGG